rnacentral:snRNA from 1 species
UUAAUUUUAAACAUUAACUUUAAUCAGUUUUUUAAAAUCUGUUCUUGUCAGUUUAAUCGCUGACAUGUCCUUUCUGUGAGGACUGUGUAAUGAAUUGAUUUUGGGAACAGGGGGCUGGGUUAGGAGCUUGCUCCAUCCGCCUCGUGCAUGGACCUGGUAUUGCAGUGCCGCCGGGAAUGGUGCGUCUCCU